rnacentral:rRNA from 1 species
UACAGAGGUCUCAAGCGUUUUUUUUUUUUUUUUUUUUUGCGGAUUCAUUUGGGCGAAAGGGUGCGUAGGCGCGCGGUAAGUCGGGUGUGAAAUCUCGGGGCUUAACUCCGAAACUGCAUUCGAUACUGCCGUGCUUGAGGACUGGAGAGGAGACUGGAAAUUUUACGGUGUAGCGGUGAAAAUGCGUAGAUAUCGUAAGGAAGACCAGUGGCGAAGGCGGGUCUCUGGACAGUUCCUGACGCUGAGGCAACGAAGGUCAGGGGAGCAAAACGGG